rnacentral:rRNA from 1 species
GAGCGAACUGAUUAGAAGCUUGCUUCUAUGACGUUAGCGGCGGACGGGUGAGUAACACGUGGGCAACCUGCCUGUAAGACUGGGAUAACUUCGGGAAACCGAAGCUAAUACCGGAUAGGAUCUUCUCCUUCAUGGUCAGAUGAUUGAAAGAUGGUUUCGGCUAUCACUUACAGAUGGGCCCGGGGUGCAUUAGCUAGUUGGUGAGGUAACGGCUCACCAAGGAAACGAUGCAUAUGCGACCUGAGAGGGUGAUCGGCCACACUGGG